AAUAGAUACCCAGGUAGUCCACGCCGUAAACGAUGAGUGCUAAGUGUUAGGGGUUUCCGCCCCUUAGUGCUGCAGCUAACGCAUUAAGCACUCCGCCUGGGGAGUACGGUCGCAAGACUGAAACUCAAAGGAAUUGACGAGGGCCCGCACAAGCGGUGGAGCAUGUGGUUUAAUUCGAAGCAACGCGAAGAACCUUACCAGGUCUUGACAUCCCAUUGACCACUAUGGAGACAUAGUUUUCCCUUCGGGGACAACGGUGACAGGUGGUGCAUGGUUGUCGUCAGCUCGUGUCGUGAGAUGUUGGGUUAAGUCCCGCAACGAGCGCAACCCUUGUUCUUAGUUGCCAUCAUUUAGUUGGGCACUCUAAGGAGACUGCCGGUGACAAACCGGAGGAAGGUGGGGAUGACGUCAAAUCAUCAUGCCCCUUGUGACCUGGGCUACACACGUGCUACAAUGGACGGUACAAACGGUUGCCAACCCGCGAGGGGGAGCUAAUCCGAUAAAACCGUUCUCAGUUCGGAUUGUAGGCUGCAACUCGCCUAC
rnacentral:rRNA from 1 species